rnacentral:misc_RNA from 1 species
CUUGCGAAGCAUCCAUACAAACUCUCAUUAUCCUAACAUAAAUGUCACUGGCCAUGGUUGGAAACACCCCAUGCUGAUACUGCACCGAUAGCAAACUAGGGUCAAUACAAAGGGAUAUAAUAUCCCUCUUUUGGGGGCAGUAGUAACAUAACCAAAAUUUAGUACAACGAAAAUAAACUUGAGAUACCAUAACAGCACGACUUCGGGACAUCGGCAGCUCUUGGAGGAACUUCUCAAAUGCAUCCAUUCUCACCCUCCCCUUAAUCUCAAUAAAGCCAGACCAAUCUUUUGCAGAAGUUUUUUCACCACUUCUAAAAAUGCCAAUAACUGAGGCCGUGGAUGAAAUAUUCAGCUGAAGUAAGCCUUCCCAAACACGUUCACCCUUGGGCAUGGCAAGAGGAGGUGCCACCUUUGAUUUCACAUGAUUGUCGGUGGAUUUAUCAUCAGCAUCCAAUUGUGUGUUCUUCACAUCCAUAACAUCAGGUUUACCAGAGGUAGUGUCACAUGAAUCUCUUAGAGUUGCAUCAGGAGACUUGGAUUCCAAGCUGACUUGUGAAUCAGCCUUGUCAGAGGCAGGUAUCAUUUUUCCAUUAUCCACAGGUAAAUUUUCAAAUGGUGGCUCUGAAUU